rnacentral:lncRNA from 1 species
CAAACUUGAGGAAGAGAAGAAAGCAGAAGGCAGCACACUUCUUGAUUUCAAGCUUUACUAUAAGGUUAUAGUUAACAAAACGAAAAAGCAAGGAUAACGCUGGAAGAAUUUUGUUUAAAGAGGGUCCUAAGGGUCUUGGGUGAAGCAGCUGGUGAAAGAGAAGGUGGAAAAACACUUGAAGCUCUACCUGUGGAAGAGUCAGUUAUCACACCAAGGAGACACAGGAGCCACCAGCUUGGGCUGACAGGCACAAUAACCAUUUAUUCAAAGAUGCCAUCUAAUGCACUAUGCCACUAAGUACUGUGGCUGGACAGUGAUUUUAAGUGUAACAAAUUAUCUUCACUUUGAAAAGAGCUUAAGAGAGAGAAAACAAAUAUUACAUCUUAAACAGAGGCAUGAAUCAAACCAACUUAUGAACGGUGAAAGCAACUUAUCAAAAUGUCUUCGGACAUAUCAAGACUGACUUAAACCAUGUUCUGUGCCCUUUCUUUGUUGAGAAGAUAAACUGGAAAAUGCAAGCUAUUGUCCUUUGCCAAGGAUCGAAGAUCAAAA